UGGGGAAUAUUGGACAAUGGGCGCAAGCCUGAUCCAGCCAUGCCGCGUGUGUGAAGAAGACCCUCAGGUUGUAAAGCACUUUCAGUGGGGAAGAAAGCCUGGUGGUUAAUACCCGUCAGGAAGGACAUCACCCACAGAAGAAGCACCGGCUAACUCCGUGCCAGCAGCCGCGGUAAUACGGAGGGUGCGAGCGUUAAUCGGAAUUACUGGGCGUAAAGCGCGCGUAGGUGGCUUGAUAAGCCGGUUGUGAAAGCCCCGGGCUCAACCUGGGAACGGCAUCCGGAACUGUCAGGCUAGAGUGCAGGAGAGGAAGGUAGAAUUCCCGGUGUAGCGGUGAAAUGCGUAGAGAUCGGGAGGAAUACCAGUGGCGAAGGCGGCUUACUGGACGGUAACUGACGUUGAGGCUCGAAAGCGUGGGGAGCAAACAGGAUUAGAUACCC
rnacentral:rRNA from 1 species